rnacentral:rRNA from 1 species
UUGAGAGCUAGGAUGAAAGGUUUUAUAUUUAAUAUAAUGUAUUAUUUUAGUUUGUUGAAUUUUUAGUAAGAGUAAAAAUACUCUUAUAACUAAGAGAGACGAUAAGACCCUAAAAUCUUUACUCUCAAAAAGAUUAAUUAUCUCUGAGGGCGUUUGUUUGGGGUAAAUAUUUUUAAACUAUAGAAUAAUAUUUUACUCUUGUGUGUUAGAAUCUUAUAUUAGGUUAUUUGUGUAAGUUACUUUAGGGAUAACAGCGUAAUUUUUUAUUGGAGCGGAUAUUUAUUAGAUUUUUACGACCUCGAUGUUGAAUUAAGAAUUCUUUUUGUGGCAGUAUGCAGGAGAGAUGGUUUGUUCAACCUUUUAUUUUUUACAUGAUCUGAGUUCAAACCGG